UACGAGGGGGGCGAGCGUUUGUUCGGAAUUAUUGGGCGUAAAGAGCGUGUAGGCGGCCACACAGGUCAGCUGUGAAAACUCGAGGCUCAACCUCGAGACGUCGGUUGAAACCGUAUGGCUAGAGUCCGGAAGAGGAGAGUGGAAUUCCCGGUGUAGCGGUGAAAUGCGCAGAUAUCGGGAAGAACACCCGUGGCGAAGGCGGCUCACUGGACCAUUACUGACGCUGAUGGCACGGAAAGCUAGGGGAGCAAACAGG
rnacentral:rRNA from 1 species